rnacentral:rRNA from 1 species
ACUCCUACGGGAGGCAGCAGUGGGGAAUAUUGCACAAUGGGGGAAACCCUGAUGCAGCCAUGCCGCGUGUGUGAAGAAGGCCUUCGGGUUGUAAAGCACUUUCAGUAGGGAGGAAGGUAGUGUAGUUAACACCUGCAUAUUUACUGUACCUACAGAAGAAGCACCGGCUAACUCCGUGCCAGCAGCCGCGGUAAUACGGAGGGUGCGAGCGUU